UACAGAGGUCUCAAGCGUUGUUCGGAUUCAUUGGGCGUAAAGGGUGCGUAGGUGGCGGGGCAAGUUUGGUGUGAAAUCCCGGGGCUCAACCCCGGAACUGCACUGAAUACUGCCUUGCUUGAGCACUGGAGAGGGAACUGGAAUUUACGGUGUAGCAGUGAAAUGCGUAGAUAUCGUAAGGAAGACCAGUGGCGAAGGCGAGUUCCUGGACAGUUGCUGACACUGAGGCACGAAGGCUAGGGGAGCAAACGGG
rnacentral:rRNA from 1 species